UGCAGCUGAGUCAUUCCGGGAUCAAACCAGGCAGGGCGAUCUUCCUUUAUCCCCUGACCAGCUUCAUUACAGGACAAACCAGAGGGGACUGAGCAUCUUAGAAUCGGAGCCAGAGGUACGAGGAACAAGUAGCUGGACGGAGCAGAGGAGCGGAGGAGAGAAGUCUGCAGAGAAGUCUGCAAACAUUCGGAUCUACUGCACAGUGGUGUGAAGAAGGGAGGAUGUGGAGGUGGUAUGGAAGAGAGCAGCAUGGUUCAAAGACUGUUACACAGAGCUAACGAGUUAAGUGAGGAUGAGACCCAGAUAUCUCACUACAGGAGAAGUCCCAGACUAAUGAGCAAAGGAAGUAAUGCAACAAGAAUGGAACAAAAAAACUGAAACAUACUCACAAGAUCGCCAUAACGGGCAGAUGAAAUUACACGUGAAGGAAAAUUCCCUGUGCUGCUGAAACAUAAUCCCCCUGUCUUCAUAAAUAAAAAAAAUAAAAUAUAAACAGUUUAUGGAAAGGUAUAAGCAACUUAAUUUUAAAAUAUAUACU